rnacentral:rRNA from 1 species
GAUCCUGGCUCAGGAUGAACGCUAGCGGCAGGCCUAACACAUGCAAGUCGAGGGGCAUCACAGGUAGCAAUACCGGGUGGCGACCGGCGCACGGGUGCGUAACGCGUAUGCAACCUACCCAUAACAGGGGGAUAACACUGAGAAAUUGGUACUAAGUACCCCAUAACAUCAGAACCGGCAUCGGUUUUGGUUGAAAACUCCGGUGGUUAUGGAUGGGCAUGCGUUGUAUUAGCUGGUUGGUGAGGUACG